AAAGAGCAGGGCCACAAAGAUGAUCAAGGGACUGGAGCACCCCUCCUUUGAGCCAGGGCCUGGCAGCUGCUUCAGCCAUUUCCCAGGGUUGGAGGAGCCCAGCAAAGACCCAUGGACAGGGGAGGACAACCGACUCACUCAGGAGUUUUCCCAUAGCCAAACUCUGGACAAGCCCAUCUCUCACCCACCAACUGUCCCAUGGCAGACUCAAACAAGGACCCAUUUGGGCCAUAAGUCAAGAGCCAAACAGAUUAAAAGCAAAACCAUUAAACCAAACAGAUUUGACACUAAAAGUAAAAAGAAGAAUCAGACCUAAUGCUGCCUUGGAAAGAAGCUCCUG